AGUGGGAUAGCUGGGUCAGAUGCUUCCUUCCAACUUUUCUGAGAAAUCGCCAUACUGCUUUCCAUAAUGGUUGUACCAAUUUUCAGUUCCACCAGCAAU
rnacentral:pre_miRNA from 1 species